rnacentral:rRNA from 1 species
UACGGAGGGUGCAAGCGUUAUCCGGAUUCACUGGGUUUAAAGGGUGCGUAGGAGGACAGGUAAGUCAGUGGUGAAAUCUCCGAGCUUAACUUGGAAACUGCCGUUGAUACUAUCUGCCUUGAAUAUUGUGGAGGUGAGCGGAAUAUGUCAUGUAGCGGUGAAAUGCUUAGAUAUGACAUAGAACACCAAUUGCGAAGGCAGCUUACUACCCGAAUAUUGACACUGAGGCACGAAAGCGUGGGGAUCAAACAGG